CACAAUUCUUGAAAAGAUUUGGCAAAGAUGUGGGUUGGAGCAGCGCGGCUGCUGCAGCAGAUCCUGGAGCAUUGGAGAAGACAGAGAGGGGUUUCUUGGUGAAAAGAAUGCUGUUAAAAGUGUUUUCAUGCCAGAAAUUAGGAUAAAGGCCUCUGUUGUUUGACAUCCUCUAUUGACCUGGCACAUUGGCAUUACAGCGUACCUGGCACGCUGUUUGUAUUAAAAAAACAGGUAUUUUAGUCAGGGCAGGCCAGAAACCUGCCUUGGCACUUGCACAUGGCAGCAAUGCUUACAGACCCUGCAUCCUGGCUGCCAGGCCAGGAUCUAAAUCCGACGGUGCUGUUGGUAAACUGAAGCUCAGGAAGCGCUUCUGGGUUUUUCUGUACUUCCAUGUGAAUUUUGACCCUGUGAAGAUGGUGUCUUAAGCUAUUUUCGGAACAACAAAUAGGUUGAAAAGCAGUUUCAGUUUAACAUCUGCAUGCUUGGGUGUUAUUAACAGAGCUUUGUAUUCUGAGCUGGUGCUUGGUAGGAGAAAAAACAUAAACCUUACCUGGGAAACUUGGACCCCCUCAGCUACAUGCUGCUAUGAGGAAACUCAGAUGUAAGAACACACUUAAAUAACACAUCAGCAGAGCUGUUGUGCUCCUGACCACCAAAGGCACCUUUUUCCAACACCGUCGUACUGGAAGUUGAUGCAGCUGGUUCCAUCCGUAACGUGGGACUGUAGAGUGCUGUAACAGAAAUAUUUUUUCACAGCUUUGGAGAAAGUGAAGCAGAGAAAACCACACAUAACCACUGAUAGCUGGACCCCAAACUGCCACAGACUGACAGUGAUGCCCACUGGAUAUCUCCUGAGACCCUGCUGCCUUCUGCCUGCUCCAGCAGAAGUCCCGUUUGAAUUAGCCAGCAGGUCCCUCUGAGUGGCUUUGCUAAAACUCCCGCCGUAGGAAGUAUCCUACGGGAGCCAAGUUGCUAAACUGAUGGGUGGGUUUCCCUUAACCCCCUCACCCCUGACUUUCCAGCUCCUGACGACACUGCCAACGUGUGCAGUGUCACCGUGUGCCAACUAGGUGCCAGCUGCCAUGGUUUGUAUAUUGUAAAAGGAGUGAUUUGGGACUCGUGAGCACUGAGAACAGGUUAGCAAUUGCUUAAGAGCUUUACUUGUGUCGCUCUGGGGCAGGGAGAUGGGUGAAACAUCUUAGGCUUGAAAGUGAUUCCCUGCAGAGUGACGUGCUCAGAUCUGCACAACAGAUCUGUCGUUCUGGUCACCUUAUUAGAUCCCUGCUUGAGAGGGUGCUUGCAAGAAUCGAUUCCUCUUCACCUUGAUGUGUCAAGCUAAAGAGAAAUCCGUGCCGAAGCACUGUCUGAUCAGACGCGUGCCUCGGUUCAGGAUUGUUCUUUGACAGCUGCAGAAACACCAGGACAGUCGGCGCCUUCAGGAACAGAUUAAUUUGAUCUUGAGGCUGUCAUAAAACAGGUCCCUGAAGUUUGAAGACUCUUCCAAUAGUUUGGGCCAGCAAGGAGCAGCUGUAGCUGGCGGCUGCGGUAACUCGGGGCUCAGAGUCUCAGAGAGCGUGGUGAAAGGUGACCCCCAGCUGGCUGCUGGAGGAAGCUGAGGCAGCGUUCAGCUCUAACCUUUGCCUUCUUGGCUGGCAUCUUUGCACUCCUGCUGUCAGUGGGUGUUGAGUGUCCUUCCCCCCAGCCUCAGAACGUGCCCGCAGAUGUAGGCUUGCUGAGUGCACCAGAGUUACUCAUUUUUAUUCAGGAUUUCAGGGGCAACUUCAGUUGGUUUAGCGCCUGGAUUGCCGUGUUAGCAGAUGUCAGUUUAAAAAAAAAAAAAAGCUUUUGAGGUCCUUUUUAAAAUGAGACUUCUUUUUUGGAAUUUAGGGCUGCGAGGUAUCCUUGGUUUUGCUUUCUUCCCAUUCCUUAGACCAGAUCCAUUCAGAUUCUGAACAGCGUUCCCGGUCUGUUCAGGAAAAUGGAAGGCAACAAGCAAAAUGAUGAGCUCCUUGGGCAGUCAAAAGAGCUAAAUCUGGAGAGUGUUUUGAGUCAAACUUCCAUGCUAAGGAGCACCAGUAAUUGUUAGAAGUAGAUGCAGAGGAACCUGCAUGGCACUGGGUGUGUUUCUGAAGGUGCUAAAGGUCCGAAGUGACGAUUCCUGUCAAUACUAAAGAAGAGAAGGAAACCUUGCACUUAACUGCUGUUUUUAUUCCCUUUGUCCAGCAGUCAAAAGCAGUAACUAAUAUGAGAACCCAACUUUUCCUCUCUUUAUUUUAGAUUUGGGAAAAUUCCCUGCCAAAAAAAUAUUUCCUGGAAAAUUCACUAGUGUUUGUGUGAGUAAAAGGUUCCAACCUUUUAUUAUUAAUUUGUAAGAACUAUUUCAUCCACUUCUGUCCAGAAGAGUCAGAAAUAAUUUGCACAGAAAUGUGCAGCGUUUUAAUGAAAGGAUUCAGAAUCACUCUAGUUUGAACUUUAUCUGGUCUGGUUGCAGGUUUUGUGACAUUUAGUGUCUUUAAAAAAAAAAAAUAAUCAAAAUAAUCAAAAUUUCUCACUUCAUAUCAGAAAAAAGAAAAAAAAAAUGCUUGUGGCUAAAUAAAAUCUGUUGCAGCUCUGCUCAUCGAAAAAUCAUUGGCUGUUAAAUUGGACCUAAGUCGUCUUCUCUAACCUUUCAUGAUCCUGCAGCAAUGGAUGAUGAUGGAUAUAUGGAUUAGGGAACAGCACAUGAUGGCAAACCUGUGGUAUUUGCUACAGCGCAGAAAGAAAAACCAAAUUGCUUCCAAAAAAUCCAACUAAUUCAAAAUCCUUGGUAUCAUGCAGCCAUGCCACUGGCAAAGUGAGCAUUCCCCUGCCUCUCAAAGCUUGCUAUACCCUUGAUCUGCUGUCUUCCUGCUGUUAAUUGAUUGCAACUCUACGUGUCUGAUCAGGGCUACGAGUUGUUCUCGAUAUGGAGAUCAUGCAACAUAUACUGUGCACACUUGUGUGUAUAGAUAUGUUUAUCCUGUACGCAUGUACAUACGUAUGCAUAUUUGUGUGCUGGCCCCCAGAUCACUCAUGUUACAAAGCAUCGGCCUCGAAGGCAUACUCAUCAAAAUCUUUUGUAGAGCCUCCAUUUUUUUCUAGUUCCCUCAAAAUGAGAGAAUUUUUUCGCGCUCUGUGUCGAAAAGGCAAAAAUUCUGAUUUUCACUGUCGCUCUCGCUAACUUUCUCUCACUCCUUCCUCAUGUGUGUAUAAACACAGAUGUGUGUAUGUGUAUGCACAUCUGUGGAUUUAUAUGCACUGAUAUGUUUUUUGCUGUACAGGUAAUAAAGACGGGGAAAGGUUUUUGUGUUUUCUUAAUAGGUGAAGAAAUCUUGAAGACCAGAGAUUGGAGCAUACUGAAUUUUAAAUAAUAAAAAAAAAAAAAAAGUUAAAUUGUCUGGCUGUGGAAGAUGGAGCCUCAUUUUUGCAGCCACUUUGAAUCACAAGUUCAUCUCUAAAUGCGCUGGGUUUUUUGGUUUUGUUUUGUUUUUUGGUUUUUAUUUUUUUGAAGAGCUAAGUAACCCUGUCUGUCUCCAGUCUGAGAGAGCGUUCAAAUGGACUUGCUUCCUUCAGUAGUUAUAAACUGUUUAAAAGCGCAUCCUAUGUUUGAAUUGUGGAUGAGAGGUUCCCUUGGCAAAGAGAGGAGGAAAAUUCUUCCUACCCUUUUAUUAUUAAUUUAGUCUUGGUUCGGCCUACAGGAGAAGUUAACUGGAAGUCUUUGAAGAUCGAUAACUUUGCUGAGGUUGUCCAGGGUUACUUUUAAAAAGAAGAUUUCACUGAUCACAAGCCAGUAGAAGACUUUCAGCCCAAGCAAGGGUGAAGACAGCUCUCUCCAAGAGCAGAGGAAGUCCCUGUGGAGAGAAGCCGAGCUUGUUAGCAGAACUCGUCGGCAUGUCUAAACAAGGAGACAAUUGCUACUUCUAUUUCUAUUCUACCUGUACCAAGGUCCUGCUCAGGAGUACUUAGAUUUGAUGGAUCCCAAAUUUUCACUUCACUGAGCUGCUCAGAGAAGGUCAUACAGAAAGUCGCUGGAAAUAGGCACACCGGAGCUGGAAAGAAGCUCAAGCUGAGAGAAGCGGACCUGCGCACACAACUGCCCCUCCCUGGUAAGCAGUUG